CCCCAGGAAUGACACUAAGGAUCAAGGGAGCCUCUGGCUCAUUUCCUCCUGAAGCUGCUCGUUGGCUCUGCUACCAAGCUUUCUUGCGCAAGCUGGCUGGUCAUUCUGUCAUCUACAAGCGUCUCCUGGGAACUCUCAGGACAACCCAAAGACAGCUAGGCCGGAAGCUCCCAAGGACGACAAUGGCCAUCCUUAAGGCUGCAGCUGAUCCAGCCCUAAGCACAGACUUUCAGACCAUUUUGGACUAACCCUGUCCCCUUUAGCUGGAUGAACAUGGGCAUUGUAGCCCCACCACUCCUAGAUCCAUGCCACAAGAGGGACCAGCCUGUUGUGGGGCUAGGUUGCCCUCCAAAACCUCUGUGUCAUGGGGUGGUAGUAUGGAAGUUUGUCCCAGUGCCCUGUUUCCUGUGGUGGGCUUGAUUUCCUUCCUGAUGCCCUCCAGGAAGCAGAUCCCACCCCUUUUAGUGUCAAGGAUCCACUAGUCACCAACACCAAAGGAGGUAGAAGACGUAUGGGCACUGGGACCAUGUGGACAGGUGUGAGAUGCCUGGCCCUGGUGUCUUUUCAUAUCUAACCAUGGAGUCUUUUCCAGUGAGGUCAGAGUGUCUCAGAGAUGAAGACAGGACUUUGAACCAGUAACCUAAAUUACAGCCUAAAUAUACUCUGAAUUCAGGUGACUGAAUGUCUUGUUACUUUUGCUGUUGUUGUUGUUAUUUUAGCUUUUGCUGUCCUAGAACUCGUUCUCUAGACAAUAUUUUCCAUAAAGGUGCAACAGGGGCAUGCAUGUCUUGGCAGUAACCAGCAGCUGUCUAAUUUGUUUCAAAGCCCACUCAACAGGAGUACUGGAAUUUAGCCAACUCUCUGGGGUUAGUGAGGCUAUGGGUCUAAGAAGAACUUAAUUUGGCCAUUUUGCUAAACCAGCAUAAUUUCUAACUGCUUGCUAAGUAUGUAUCCUUACACCCAUAGAUAAGUGUAGUGCUCACCCCUCCCUCAUCAAAGAACGUUUGCAACAGAUAGGUAACAUUACAGAAAUCCACAACUAGAUGAAUGCUGAAAACAAGUGAUCAUGGAGUACCCAGCCCCAGUGGAUUCCUCUACAACACAACCUCUGUUGUAACCUAAGACUUAGGGAACAUAAUGAAUGAGGGGACAGGAAGACUGUAAGAGCCAGAGGACCAAAUAAACUGAGAUUUUUGUCUCCUAGAAAUGGCAGGGUGGCUACACCCAUGAUACCUCAACAUAUGGCUACCUAAACAAGAGCUGAACAAAAACAUCAAUAUACACGGUUCUUCCUUGCUCUGGCUCCAGGGUGGAGCAGACAGCCUCAAGCUCUGUUCAGAGUCAAGUUGGAAUGUGCAGGUGGGUGGGGAAAAUACAGGAUAAGGCCAUAGGAGUAUAAUCCAAGGUAUGAGCGAGGAUAUGGGGUAUGCUGAAGGGUAGCAAUCUCUGGGCGCCUCUGGUGAAUCUGGCCUGGGCCUUACCCCUGCUUUUGUGCCAUGGGCCCCUACAGUAAGGAGUUUGUAGGAACACCUAGGAUGAGUUUGUCCUCAGACAGGCAGCCAGGGCCCUCCUGUCUACUCUGUUGAAGUACCACCUGUCCCUGCAGACCAGCACAGCAGCUCCCUCAAGAGAGAAGUCAGCUCUCAGUAGAGCUAGACAAAAGCCAUUCAACAGACAGCCUGAGGCUAACAUAGGGAGCAGGAAGACCAGCAUAAAGGGCAUAGAGAUGUAAAGAACAGCUCCCCACCUCCCUGCCCCCAGCUUCCAAAUGGACUGACUGAGCUGGAUUCACUGAGCUCUUAGUCACAACCAAUUAGCUUUGAGCAAUUCUGGAAGCUUCUGGGAUAUCAUUGGUGGGACCAGAGAAACUGUACCUUGGACAGGGCUCUCAGCCCCAGCGCUGAUGCAGCCUAAUUGGCCCCAGCUGGCCUUAUGACAGUGCCUUGUUCAUCCUGCUGCCUUUUAGUGCAUCCAAGUGACUAAGCCGAAGGCAUUUACAGCAGAGCCAAGUCCAGGGAGUGGAUCAUAAAUGCACCCAGGCUCCUGGAACUUCCAUAUGGAGGGUGUAUGUUUGGGGAUCUUGACAGCCAGCCUGCUGGAACCAACCCAGUCCCAGGGCAGAGGACACUCAGUAACGGGAUUAAAAUAGGGUUGGGAAAUCCCAGGAUCCAAGGUCAUACAUAGCUCAACAGGAGACUAGAAAUCUUCCGCCUGGGCUGGGCACACUCAGGCCUCUCCGGUGUGCCAGUAACAUCAUGUCAUCAGCCAAUCCACUAGGUGCUAGCAUCUUAUCUCUAGCCAUGUUCAUCUAGUUCCAGCUCUCCUCAAGACCACUUGUAUUCCUGCCAAAUUGUUAAGCCCUCGCUAAAGGUUCAUGUCCUAAUGGGCCCCAACUCAUGAGUUGCUGAGUUCUUUCUUCAGUUACUGUGGAGACUGCCAGGUCCGCCCUGGGGGAAACAAAACCGGCGAAGUUAAAAGGCAAUGGGAUCUGAGCUGAAACUUAUUGGUGUGGUGGUGGUGUGUGUUCCCUUGCAAGUGUAGAACCCCUGUGAGGAAGUCAGGUGUGAUGGUGCAUGCCUGUAACCCCAGAACUGUCAAGGUGGAGACAAAUGUAUCCUUGGGGCUCCCUGGAUGCCUAACCUGCUUGGUGAGUUCUAGGCCAGUGAGAGACCCUAUCUAAAAAUCAAAUUAAAAAUAAUUUUUUAAAUGGGGAUGGCUCCUGAGAAAGGACACUUAAGAUCGUUCUCUGACCUCUGCAAACAUGCAUACAGAAUCAGAGAAGAACAGGAAUGAGAAGGAUUUGAGCAUGAGAAAGCAAUGUCAAUGGAACCAGUCAUGAGCUUCCUACAGGAUAAGAGUUCCUUCUUGCCCUUCUCUGGACACCCACACACUGGGCUCAAUACUCGGUACCUAUAAUGAUGUUCACCUGUGAAGGAUAUCAUAGAACUAAAGGGAGUUCCUAAAACUGGAUGGACUGCAGGAACCUAGAGACAGGAGCUGAUGCAGAGGCCAUGAAGAGUGCUGCUUACUGGCUUGCUCUGACAGCUUUCUCAGUCUGUUUUACUAUAGAACCAAGACUAUCAGCCCAGGGGUGUCCCCACCCACAAUGGAGUGGGUCCUCCCACAUCAAUCACUAAUUAAGAAAAUGCCCUACAGGCUUGCCUACAGCCCAGUUGUAUGGAUGAAUUUUCUUUUCUUUUUUUCAGUUUUUCAAGGCAGGGUUUCUCUGUGCAGCCAUGGCUGUCCUAGAACUCUCUGUAGCCCAGGCUGGCCCUGGACUCACAGAGAUCUACCUGCCUCUGCUUCCUGAGUGCUGGGAUUAAAGGUGUGUGUCACCAGCAGCCAGCUGGAUGAAUUUUCUUAAUUGAGGUUACCUUCCCUCAAAUGAUUUUCACUUGUGUCAAGUUGACAUAAGCCGAGCACACUUAUGGUAAGCAGAAAAAUGACAACAAAGAGGUGUUGGUCCCCAGAAACUGACUACGCUACCUGAUCAUGAAAUGUGGCUAUGGUUACAGAUGGAGUGAAGAUCUGUUGACCUGAAGAUAUGAAUCAUCCUGUUUAUCUGGGUGGGUCUGAGAUCAUCACAGGGGUCAGUAAGAGGGAAUGCUGAGUAGAAUUGGGUUGUAGAAAAACUAAACCAGCCACUGCAGUCUUUGAGCUGGAGGAAAAGGCCAAGUGCAGUAAUGAAGGCACUAUCAACCAGACUAGCUAAGGACAGGUGCUGCCCAGCACGCCUCAACCAUGGCCCAGUGAGACCCGAUUCACACUCUGGGCCUCCGAGGCAGUAAGAGUACAGGUAUGUUUAGGAAUAGCUUCUGAUGUUCAGGAAUUUGUUAUGGAAACAAGUGAGGAGACAAACUCAGGACUUGUUCUCAGGAUCUGGGGACCAGUGUGAAGACCUGUGGCAGGAGACACGGACAGGAGUGAAACAAGAUUAACAUGGGAAAGAAGCCAUUUUGCAGAGGAAGUCUGGAGUCCUUCACUUGAACUUUUUCUCAGGAAUGGAUCAUGUUCAGUGAUACACAAACUUGGGAGAGCUGUGUGCUCUCCCUUUCAUAGCAAGCUGUCUCUCUAUUUCCAGCCACAUAUUCCUGAAGCAAUCCUAGAAUCAAAUACCCACAAAUUCAGAUCUGCAGUUUGACACCUCUAAACAUGCUUUCCCUGAUAGUCUGGGCUUUUUCUGUUUCUCUACAUCCAUACCUAGUUUCAAAGGCAUAACUUCUUCACCUCCCCUCCUCUGGCAGCUGCUUGGAUUUUCUUCUUGCUUGUAUUGUUUUUCCUCUCAAACUUUAAUAAAAAAUGUCCUCAAGCUGC